rnacentral:rRNA from 1 species
UACGUAGGCAGCGAGCGUUGUUCGGAAUUACUGGGCGUAAAGAGUGUGUAGGCGGUGCUCUAAGUUCGGUGUGAAAUCUCCCGGCUCAACCGGGAGGGUGCGCCGAAUACUGAGGAGCUAGAGUGCGGGAGAGGAAAGUGGAAUUCCUGGUGUAGCGGUGAAAUGCGUAGAUAUCAGGAGGAACACCGGUGGUGUAAACGGCUUUCUGGACCGUAACUGACGCUGAGACACGAAAGCGUGGGUAGCAAACAGG